GGAAAAGGAAUAUUUCAUACAAGAGCCUAAAAAAAUCAUCAGCUCCAUUAUACUUUUAUUGAAUAAUUACAAAGUUUCAUCAGAAGUAUUUUGCAAAACUAUGAUGGAAUAAAUUAUUUCUGUGUGUGUAUUGAUGAGAUCAUGGCCCUUCUGUAAAGUUGAGUUUCAGAAGCAUUCAAGUAGUUAACACUGGGGAGUCAGGGAAUUGGGGCUUGGGAAAGUCGUAUCCAGAAUUUUUUUCUGGAAUUUACCCAGGAACAGAGCGGUCCUAUGAGGGAAGGUCAGCCCUGGUUUCCCACUCUGCAGCCCACUGCCUUUCCCUGUCAUCGGAGUCAGUGUACAUUACAUUGGCUCUUUUUAAAAUCGUGUGCCAGGCAGUAUAAUUCUGAUGAGAAUCUGAGCAGUAUUAUUCUCUAUGAACUGUGAAUGUGACACUUUUAUAAUUCCAGUAGAAUUAUUUUUCCCUUGGGAAAUCCUAGACAUGCAGUAUGGUACACUGAAUUAGGGGAGAGGUAAGGGGGAAAAAAAGCUAUAAAAGGCGUACCUUAUUAAAACGAAGCGGGCUUUAUUCUUGCCUGUGUAACCUUCAGAUACAGUGACUGAUUGUUAGGCAGACGCACUUAUUUUUCUUCAGCAUAAAUUAUCUUCUCUCUAGUUUAAUGAGUAAUGAAGAACAACAGUCCUCAUCGUCUGAUUGGGUCAAACCUAAUAAAGGUAUAGUUAAUUCUGAGAGUGAUAUUUUCAUGUCCUUGUGACAGUACCCAUUCUGUGUGGUCAGCCCCAAGAAUAAACACAAAGGUGCUCUGUUUGAGAAAUUAGGUGACCACCAACUGCUUUCAUUGCUCUUCUUUUAAACGGUCCAUUUUAUAUUAAGAUGGACAGAAACUACUGUUCUGCUAUUUGUCAGGCUGAUUGUCUUGUGCUGGUUCCUGGGUGGGCCCAGACUGCUGACACGUCCCAUCACCAGAUGGGAAGAACUUUAUACAUCCAUCAGCCCUGGCAAGCAUCCUGCUGAUUGACACGGUCAAACAGGGGGCUCCCUGCUCCUUUCUGCAGCCAUAUUUUUGCAGGUCCACGCGGACAGGAAAACAAACCUCUGGUCCAGCAAUAUGUAGGUGAGCUCCAGACUAUAUGAUUCACUUCCUGAAAUCUCCCCUUUGGGUGUCUCGUUUGUGAGUGGCAGGUGCUCACCUUUCCUUGCUUCAGCCUUCCUGCUGCAGCCGGAGGCACCCCAGGGCAGCAGGCAACCGUGGGUGCUGGUGAGCUGGGGUGAGUGUGCAGUGUUCUUUGGGAUGUGUUACAAAAAUGUGGCCUGUCACAGAGUCCAGAGCCAUUAGAAACUGUAGGCGGACUCCGUUUAAUGAAACUUUCAUUUCUUUAUUUUGAUUGCUUCUCAGAGACAGGUCACAAAGAAGGAAAAGGUCCUCCUGUAAAAUACACGCACAAAUCUGUCACACAGAGAUGACUUCCUGUCCGCUCUGGGGUCACAAUUACUUCUGAAUUCUUUCUGUCUCUAUGUGGCUUAUAUGUGUGUUUAUAACGAGCCGGUGGUAAAGGCAUGGCCAGUGGUGUCCCCAGCACGUACAGAUGUCGCUUCCCAUGAAAAGGAAGCGAACACCUUCUUACCGACACACACAGACUUGCUGGGUCCCAUCAGCAUCCAGUGAGAUGCCGAUAAGUGGAGAGCUACCUGACAUAAAGUGACGCCAAAAAGUUCAACCAAAAUGAUGAACAAAGACACAUAAGGAGAAAGAACCACGAGGCAGGGGUGGCGUGGGAACCUCCGCGGGAACCUGCAUUGGCAGCUGAGUGCCUCCUGGUGGUGGGUGGGGUCUCCGCAGGGUGUGCAGCCCAGGCCCCUUGCUGCUCUCCAGGCCGCCAGAGCCUUCUAUUCAUCCUGGUCCUCUCCUGCCCCGGAACAGACCUGCCUCUUGGGCCUGCGCCACCUGCCCCAGGGGCUCACCUCUGGCCUGCCCAGCUCCUCUUUGCCGCCUGCCCACGAGCCGGCGUCCUCAUCUUCCUCCAGGCCUGCCCCCUCCCAGGUCACUGUCCCGGGGGCAUUUCUGUGUGGGGGAUUUCUCCUGUUGUUUCUCUGUGGGCCCAGGACACCUGCCGUGACUUCGGCACCGCCCUCCCUGCCUUCCUGUCUGCAGUUUCACUACAUGUUGCAGCCCUCUGUGGAUGAGGGCAGGCAGGUGCCUGAAGCCCACGUGUCCGCAGUGAGUGGGAGCUGAUGUCUCCAUGGGAGUGGCCGGAGAGCUCAUUCUGGGAAAAGUAGAAGUUGGGGUCACGUGAGGCACACUGAGGUCUCAUUGGUGCCAGCUGUGGAGUCGUACUGGCCCUUGGCCACGAGAAUGCACAGAAAAGGUGUCCUCUUCUGGCUGCAGGAGAGGGGACCAGGCAUUUGGUCCCCAAAAUAGAUAACGGAAGAGGAGCUGCAUAAUGGCAUCAUGAUGAGGACUGCAGGCAAGACAGGGACCCAGAGAAAAUGAGUCCUCCACAGAAGACUCCCGUGGUUAUGAACCCACAGUGAGCAGGUGUGUUGGCAAUUGCUGUCUGCACGUCUGGCUUCUCCGGCAGACCAAAGCUCUUGGCCGAUGAGCAUUUGGCUUGGCAUGCUGGGGCACCAACACCUUAAGAACAAAUGAAUAUGGGAACUGGAGGUCAGAAAGUCACUCUGAAAAUGCACCUGCCACUGGUGUCCAAGGAGAUGCAGACACCUGGUGCCGUAGCCUAUCUUUCCUGGAUGCCUCGGAGCUGGCUGAACAGUUCCAGUUCGUUGGUGGCUGCAUGUGCCCAGGCAAGGCUCCUGACCUGCCUGCUUUGGUGUGAGAAACCCUUUGGCUGUUAAAAAGGUGUUAAUCAUUUGAGAAACUCACUAACUGAACUUCAUAGUGAGGAGGUGUGCCUCCUGUUAAUAGAUAAUAAAACAGAGUGGAAUAAUUUGAAUUUUUUGUAAUGGAUGUGAUUAUGAAUGAUUUCCCUAUUUACUCGUA